rnacentral:rRNA from 1 species
CGAACGGGUGAGUAAUGCGUGACCAACCUGCCCCAUGCUCCAGAAUAGCUCUUGGAAACGGGUGGUAAUGCUGGAUGCUCCAACUUGACGCAUGUCUUGUUGGGAAAGUGUUUAGUGGCAUGGGAUGGGGUCGCGUCCCAUCAGCUUGUAGGCGGGGUAAUGGCCCACCUAGGCUUCGACGGGUAGCCGGCCUGAGAGGGCGGACGGCCACAUUGGGACUGAGAUACGGCCCAGACUCCUACGGGAGGCAGCAGUA